ACAUAGGGCCUAAAUAUCCCAAAAAACACCAGAUCUCUUCUAAUCUUGGAAGCCAAGCAGGAUCAGCACUGGUUAAUAAAUGGAUGGGAAACUGCCAAUGAAUACCAAGUGCUGUAGGCU
rnacentral:rRNA from 11 species